ACACACAGCACAGCUAGUUUCAAAAUUAAACCACAAUGAAAACUGUCACUACUGACAAGGAACUAUGCAAAGACCUUCGGUCUCAGGCCCUUGCUCACUCAGGAGUACCUUGAGACCUGUUUCUUCCUGUUCAGCUGCAGUCACGGUUCUAACCUGGUUCUUCUCACGGCUGGUAUCCUCUGACCUUUUAUGUCUUGGCAAUGACUUCCAUGCAUUUUGGCAGUGACUGCCUGAAUCUCUGAUUCAACCCUGAUCGCAGCCUCUCGGGCUUUCUCGCUCCUUUAAUUCUUUCCGCGGAUGGCCACGGCUUUUGCCGCCUGUACCCUUCCUGGAGCAACCCGUGCUUUUGAAAAAUGACCAUGCCGAAGGGGAACUAACACUCCCAGCCUGGUGCGGGUCUUGUCAAUCUGAUUUUUAAAUGAUGGAGGAGGAGGUUUGAGGACAAAGCUCAUGGUGGCAUUACCACUAUCAGGGACGCUGCAAAGAUCAAGUGAAAAGGGGAAAAGGCUCUUCUCAAUGUGAGCACAUUCACAGGCUCUGAGAACAGAGAGGUAUUUAAAGUGAACUGGAACAAACCUGCAACAUCCGGUGCGUUCUGCCUUCAAAAAUAGCUGCCAGUUAGAAAGGGUUAUUUACAUAUUGAUUUCAUGCUAACUUUGUAAUGGAAUGUGCUGCCUGCCUGCCUGCCUGAGACCUAACAACUGUCAUCAUAAUUUUUUCUAAAAAUACAGUCAGAGAAAAACACUCAUUGAACCCUCCACUGGAAAGUAGCUGCAAAAGACCCCCUGAUCCCAAACCUGCUUGACAGACCACAGCCAAGGGCAGGGACACUCAACAACUGUAAACGAGGAACAUUUCACAGCGGCAGCUGGCCCCUCUCUUCUUCCAACCAGCCAAUAUUUUUUGUCUUUCUAGAAAACCUGUCUUGUUCAAAGAGAAGACAACAGAUCUCUGAAGAAUGGAACGCAGGAUAAGCUUUGAAAGAGCAAGGGUCGUUUGGAAAGGCCUGGGGUAGGAUGAAGCCCAGGGGAUGAUAUACUGAGGGAGCCCAGUAGAGAAGAAAAUAGCACGAGGGCCUUCAGCACUGCCUCCAGGAGGGGAUGGAGUGGAACAAAAUGGGGUAGGGACGGGGGCAUCUCUAAGGCUGAAGAUUCCUCACUGCAGUUUCGCCACUAGCCAGCCCUGUCUUUCAACAGAGUAGUUCAACGGCAUUGGUAAUGCUCGUGUUGAGCUCUAGUUUCAAAGUUAUUCCACUCAUGGAGACACUAAAAGUAAAAUGGAAGUUCAACUAAGGAAAACGUGAGGAGCUUCUUCUGGCAGGAUCUGCCUCCCCUGGACUAAUGACAUUGUGCGGAACGCUAAAGGGAGCUCCAGGGAAAGGUCAGUGGCUUUCAAGUUUGAGCAGGAUUUCACAACAAGACCCAGAAAGAUAUGGAAGAAACAAAGCUCAGAUGGGAAAUGUAAGGCACAGAAUGGUAGAAGGACUUUGGCAAAACCUAGUGACAUAAAGCUGUCUGCUUAAUUGUCACUGUGCAGGUGCCCAAGGGAAAUGGCUUAUGUCAAGUCAAUGGAAAAAAGACUUCUUUGAUUUUCUCAUCUGGGGCAAGCUGCUUACACAUAUAAUUAUACCUACUCGUUUAAUAAAUAUUUAUCGAGUGCC
ensembl:lncRNA LINC01685 long intergenic non-protein coding RNA 1685